CUCACCUUGUUUGCCUUGGCUUAUUAACAUUUUUUGGGGGCCCACGCAGGCAGAGAGGAGAGUGGGUUUUCUCCACCAGUGGGUGGGUUUUUCCUUUGUGUGUCAUGGUUGGGCUUGCCCAGGGUUUCUGCUGCCCUCUUCCAGCACCAGUGGCUUCUUUUCCAGCCCCGAGUUUGUACACAAGUCCCAGGUGAUGGUGAGAAGGCAGCGGUCACCCCGUGUGCUGCUGGAGCAGCCCCCACAUGCCCGGGGAUGCUGGGGCCAGGCUCUGGGAGCAGCAGCAUCCCCCUGAAGAGCUCUGUCUGUGUUCCACAGGAACCCUGGCCUACAGCCCUCCAGAGUGGACCCAGCACCAAAGCUACCAUGGCGAGGCAGCGACGAUCUGGUCCCUGGGCCUCCUGCUGUACCAGCUGGUCGUGGGGAAGCACCCGUUCAGGAGGGGCCAGGAGAUCAUCUGGGGGCGCAUCUUGUUCCCAGCACGGCUCUCUCAAGAGUGCCAAGAUGUCAUUAAGCGGUGUUUGUCCAUGCAGCCCUCGGACAGGCCAUCAUUAGAAGAGCUUUUCUGCCAUCCUUGGGUGCAGGGUGCUCCUCGGCCCUAGAAGAUGGGAGAGAUCCAUGUGCACAGUUGGAUCCAGGGGCCUGGCAGGUACCAGCUCCACACAUCUCUUGGCACUCAGUGGCAAAGCAAACCAGACUGGUUUUGUCCUGCCUGUAGCUCUGAGCAGGGGUCAGCAGAAGGGAACAAGCAGCUCUUGGGCGGGAGCUGAGCUGGAGAUCUGGUGUGGCAAGCACUGGUGGCCACCAUCCCCCCGGUUUGUUUGUCUGGUUCAUGGAUGGCUGGGGCCCUGGGCAGAGCCCUGACAGCCUGGUCUGUUCCCAGGGAAGGAGAAGGAGCUCCUGGAGAAGCUGUACCAGGUGGGGUUGCUGCUGGAGACAGCAAGGACAGCCUCAAGGAUGACAGUCUCUUCCUUGGCCUGGCCAGCUGAAGAAGAUGGACUUGGAUUCUGGCACCUUCUCUAAAGACACACUCCACACCCAAUUUGCAGCCGGGCUCUGCGGGUGCUGAGGCUGCUCUGGGCUCUGCCAGGGCUCUGCUGGGCUCAGCCCUGGGCACAGCUGGGCUGGCUCUGCCCUCACAUUGCUCUGACAGCUUUGCAUCAGACAAGCCCGUUCCGAGCACAGCGCCUGAGCUUUCUGCUUUGGCAGGUGAGUGAGACUCUCCUGCAGGCCCAGAGAUUGCAGCUGGGGACACACAUCCAAUUGGCAAGAACGCAAACUCUCCACAGUCCCAGCUGAACGCCUGGAUCUCCAAAGGAUGUUUCAUCUGUCACACUCUUCAUUCCUUUUUGGCUUUUUCUUCCUCUGGAGGUGCCACAAGUGGGCCAAAGCUGGCGAGUGGGCCGUGUCCCUGAGGCAGUGCAGUCUGGAGCUGAUGGAUGGAGAAUUGCCUUUCUGCACUCCCAAACCAGAGGAAAAAUCUAAAACAUGCUGUAAAAAAAGAGUGUCCUUUGCUCCUGGUUCCCAUGUGGAGCAGCUCCCUUCCUGCUGGCUGAGCUGCUCAGGCAGAGCCCGGCAGCUCCUGGCCAUGCAGGGCUGAGGCUUUUCCCCACUGCUGGGCACAGACUGAUGGAGCAGCACUGCUGAACACGGGCACACCCAGAGGGACCAAGAGCAGCUGCCUUUGCCCACCUGAGGCUCCAAGGCCCAAACUCUGAGCAGCCAGGGCUGGAAGAGACUCGCAGGCUCCCUGGUGGCUGUGCUGCCCCACUUGUGCCCGGCCCAGCUCUGCAUGAGGCAGAGGGAGAACAAGGGGCAGCUCCCUCUCAGCCCAG